rnacentral:rRNA from 1 species
AUUUGUCUGGUUAAUUCCGAUAACGAACGAGACCUUAACCUGCUAACUAGAUCCAAUUAUCCGAUUUUUGCGAUCUUCUUAGAGGGACUAUGUAAUAAAAAUACAUGGAAGUUUGAGGCAAUAACAGGUCAGUGAUGCCCUUAUAUGUCCUGGGCUGCACGCGUGCUACACUGAUGCAUACAACAAGUGCCUAACCAGACAUGGUAUGGUAAUCUCUAAUAUGCAUCGUGAUGGGGAUAGAUCUUUGCAAUUAUAGAUCUUGAACGAGGAAUUCCUAGUAAGUGCAAGUCAUCAUCUUGCAUUGAUUAUGUCCCUGCCCUUUGUACACACCGCCCGUCGCUCCUACCGAUACCGGGUGAUCCGGUGAACCUUUUGGACUCAUUUGGGAAAGAUAAGUAGACCAUAUCACCUAGAGGAAGGAGAAGUCGUAACAAGGUUUCCGUAGGUGAACCUGCRGAAGGAUCA